AAGCAAGCUGUGAGAGGACAAGCAUUAGCAUGCAAUGCUGGGAACAGCAGGUCCUCAUGCUCCACUUGGAGCACUGGGAUUCAUCUUGGUGGAAAACAGUGAUGCCAUUGAAGUUCUGAACCAUGUUUCUGUGAAGUUGCCAAAAGUUUCCAGAUCUUGAGAAGUGCAGUGCAACAGUUCAGAAAACAGCAGGGCUUGAGAGUAUAUUUACAAACAAGGAUUUAAGUGAUACAGAUGUUGUUAUAUUGAUGUAGUGAAUGUACUUGCUGCUAUACCAACGUUGCAGCAGCAGAGUGGUGUACAGUUAAUAAAAGCUAGGAGGACCUAGAAACACAUAGAUGGAGGUAAGGUGGAAGGAGCACACAUUGAGAAAUGUGACAAACUUUUUUUCUAGUUUGCAGAGGAGAUCUGAGCAAACUUCAGAGCUGAAAUAGCGAUUAAUCUGACUCAGGAAAAAGCUUUCAUUGCCCUUGCUGAACAUUGCAAAAUCCAUCAGUAUGUAAUCCCCUAGGGAAAAAAGAGGUUGUUCACGUUGGGACAAACCAAAGCUCUGUUUAGCUUCAUGUCCUGUUUCUGACAGUGAGCAGGAGCAGAUGCUUAGGAAAAAUCCAAGGGCAGUAUGGACUACUGGGUGUAGUUCCAGCCAGAAGAAAGGAUGCUCUUCUAGUAAGGUCUGAUGAGGCAAAUCUGCAGAGGUUUGUCAUGAAAUGUACUAUUCUUACAGGCAGAAAAUGGGGAUUUUUCUCUGCCUUUUCUCUUUUGCUCUGUGUGUUGCUUGAAUUUACUCCAGUAUGUGUGUGGCUGUAUGCUGGGGUGAUGAUGAGCAAACGUCUAGUCAUGGCCCAGAGGAGUUUUCAAGCUUGAAGUAGUUUUAGAUGUGGUAUGGCAAACUAUGGUGACAAAGAAAUGAUCAGAUGAAAUUAAGUACAAAGUUUUAGGAAGUGAACUGUAGGAUUGCUCUCAGUACCAAAUAAUCUUCUUCAUAGGUAUGAUGAUGCUUGAAUGCAAGCAUUGUUAAAGUCUGCCAAAACCCAUGUCUGUCACUGAUUCUCCCUGUUCUAGGAAAGUGAUGUAGAAGUAGUUUUUCUUCUCAUUAACGAUAAGCUGUUGAGGUGCUGAUAAGAACAAAACAGAGAUUUUCUUUAAUUGCACAAAAUGUUAGGUACACUGCACACUGAUUCCAGUACUGGUUGUUUCUUUCCCACCCCACGGCAGUAGAAGAAGAGGAGAACAUGAAGGUUUGUGGCAGUGAGUUCUGUCACUGGACAAAAAUCAAACAAGGGAUUUUUCAUGAGAGCUGUGAGUUAGCAUGGAUGACCAAAAUCAGGCACGGGGUACAGCAGCCAAGUGACUAUCACCUGUGUGAGUCUUGACACCAGCGCUGGGCAGUGUGAAAUGCAGUGACAGAUCAUGCUUUGCCCCUGUGGCAUACCUCUGCUUGUACUGCCUGCCCUUUACAGAUAGGUUCCGUCGUUCAGGUUUGUGAUCUGCAUGGGAUAGCAUCUGUGUUUUGUAAGCCUCUGUGUGUGUAUACAGUGACUAGAUCUAUGCAUGCACCUGUGAUGCAUAUUUGAUGUAGCUGCAGAUACUUUGCAGUCUGGCUGCAAGAACAGCUGUGCUAUUUAAUUUAGUUCAUGUUUUUCCAUUUGCCAGUGCAGGUAAUGGUACCUGAGAGAACUCAGCUCUGUGUCAAAGUUGAAGGCCUACAGGAUUUCAGUUGCCUGUGCAGGAGCUUGGCAUUUUGCUAGCUAGGACCAGGUAGGAAUGCAUCUAUUUAAGACAGGGCAAAGACAAGAAAUUCUAAAACUUAAAGGUAACUUGUCUAUUAAUCCCAUCUAGUAGGAAGUCCAAAUUAGCUAAAAAUACCCUCUGCUUCUGAGCAUUUUUAGCAAGCUUAGAUUAAAAUCAGCAUUCAUAAGAAAAAAGGUGUUUCUAAAUCCACAGAGUGAACUUUGUCACCCUCAGUAGUUACACACGUCUUAAUUCUCUCAGGCAGUGGACUAGUAAGUUCCUAUAUAUACAUACACUAUUUUGAAUGAAAUGGGAAUAGGGAUGACUGUAGCCAUGGAAGACUUGCCUGUUUUUAUACCAUGGCACUUUUAGUCCAGUGAUUACCUCUGCCAGAAACCUUAUUCUAAACCACCUUUUCCCACCAAAACUUUCUCCUCCUUUUAUCUUCUGAUGUCUGUUUGAAAGUUAAUGGAGCUUUAAAGAGACAGAGAACAGUGUCUACAAACCACGUUUGAUUUCUGUGGGGGUGAGUUUUUAUGUAAACUUGUCACUUGGGUUCAGCUGCUUUUCCUUGCCCUUGUUCUCUCCUGUGUCAAAUGUUAGGAAGAGACACUUUGAAUUCCCAACUGUCUAAGGACUUUUCUUUCCAAGACUACAAUUCCACUGACAGCUGAGCCUGAAAAAACCCUUAACUUCCCCAGAUGAAAAGACAAACAUAUAUUUUUAUAGAAAUAUAAUUGUUUAUUUUAAGAAACAGUUUUCCUGCAGCUUCUCCACAUGUGUUUUUCCCCUUGUGUAGUUCAAAUUUGAUAUAAACUUUGUGUUCCUUCUUUUUAUGUUCUGUUUUUAAAUUUGUAGUCCAAGCUUUGGUGUACUGUACAGGAGCAGUCAGCCUUUGUAAUUACUGUACAGAUGCUUUAUAAUAAAGUAUAUUACUUUUAUUUUAACGAGUGAGCAGACACUCCCUUUUGUGUGUUUGCUGCCUAGGGCACCUUUUGAAAGACUGUUACAUGUUUAAAAUGUACAUAUAUAAAUAUAUUUACCUGUUGCUGUACAGUUGUGAUAGACUGGACUGAAUUUAUUUUUUGUGUGCUUUUUUAUAAACUAUUAAUACACUAAAGAAAAUCUUGCUGAUGUGAUUGUAAUUGUACUAUGUAACUUAUUUACUUAAUAUCCUCUAUGCAUCUAAAAAAAGCCUUUUAUUAAAUGAGGUUUAAAAAAUA